UACGUAGGGUGCAAGCGUUAAUCGGAAUUACUGGGCGUAAAGCGUGCGCAGGCGGUUUUGUAAGUCUGUCGUGAAAUCCCCGGGCUUAACCUGGGAAUGGCGAUGGAGACUGCAAGGCUAGAGUUUGGCAGAGGGGGGUAGAAUUCCACGUGUAGCAGUGAAAUGCGUAGAGAUGUGGAGGAACACCAAUGGCGAAGGCAGCUCGCUGGGACGGUACUGACGCUGAGGCGCGAAAGCGUGGGGAGCAAACAGG
rnacentral:rRNA from 1 species